rnacentral:rRNA from 1 species
GCAGUCGCCGCGGUAAUACGUAGGGUGCGAGCGUUAAUCGGAAUUACUGGGCGUAAAGCGUGCGCAGGCGGUUCGUUAAGACAGAUGUGAAAUCCCCGGGCUCAACCCUGGAAUGCCGGUGGAAACUGUCGAGCUCGAGUCCGGAAGAGGCAAGUGGAAUUCCUGGUGUAGCAGCGAAAUGCGUAGAGAUGUGGAGGAAUACCGAUGGCGAAGGCAGCCCCCUGGGCCAAUACUGACGCUCAUGCACGAAAGCUAGGGGAGCAAACAGGAUUAGAUACCCGCGUAGUCCCUGUCUCUUAUAC